rnacentral:rRNA from 1 species
CUGCUGCCUUCCGUAGGAGUUUGGACCGUGCCUCAGUUCCAAUGUGGGGGACCUUCCUCUCAGAACCCCUAUCCAUCGUCGUCUUGGUGGGCCGUUACCCCGCCAACUAACUAAUGGGACGCAUCCCCAUCGAUAACCGAAAUUCUUUAAUAUCAAGAUCAUGCGAUCUUGAUAUGCUAUCGGAUAUUAAUCUUUCUUUCGAAAGGCUAUCCCCGAGUUAUCGGCAGGUUGGAUACGUGUUACUCACCCGUGCGCCGGUCG